rnacentral:lncRNA from 1 species
CUCCCGACCGUUGAUCUCGCAGCGCUCGGCCAGGAUUAGGCGUGGGGUCCAUGGCCGUUGGAUUGGUUGUCAGCGGUCGAGAUGUGAUCUCAGCCUUAUUAAUUUCGGUGCGUUGAUCGGGAUCGGAUGGUUCUAGUUGCGUGCCGAUUCCUUUAAAGCUGGGACCUAAUCUGGGCCACAUAUUGGAGAUUGGACGGCUGAGAUCAACCUAUACCCCUUCAGAUGGGCGGUUUUACAUAAGAGACCCGGAUCUUUUAAUAUAUCAACCCGCAGUACACCAUAGUGUGAGUUCCAUUACAGAUUAGUCCAGCUUUUCACGAUUUUAACCCUAAACUCCUGGGUAAUUAUGUUCGCAAUCCAGAAUCAUUAGGAGAAUUCAGAAUUAAAUUAGAAAAUGAUUUCUAUUAUAAAAAUAAUUCUAGAAACUUGUUUAAUUCAUAAGUAAUUCAAUUUAACUCAUUUUUGACCCAUUCUAGUUGCAUUAAUCUCACAAUAAUAUUUUUUUAUCAUCUAGUAACUUUGUAUUACCAUGAAACCUAGGAUUAAAACCUUGUACCUCCUUUGCUUUAUAGUAGACACUUAAACCUUCGGAAAAUCAUAACCUUAUUACCGAACUCCGAAUUUAGUGGUUCUCGAACCUAGGAUCUAGUUACGACACAUAGGUCAUUAUUAUGCAGUUUUUCUUAUGUUUGGUGUGAUGUUAAUUUUGCAUAUACCAUGUUUGUUUGUAUUGCUACAAGUAGCAGAGAGGUUACGAGUCACUUGAAGAUCAAGUUGGUACAUGGGAAUCUCGAGUCUAAGACAAGUUGUGCCCUUGAUCACUUUUCUUUACUUAAUAAUGUUCCUGUUAUUCACUGUGACAUGCUCAGGUUAAUUUGAUGGGACCCAAUAGGUUUCCCUAGCAUUAUUUAUUCCCUACCUUGCAAAGAAAAGCACUAUUGGGCAGUUUUGCUAUUGCUCUACCUAGUUUUGGGAAAUUAAUGUUACAUUAUGAUCAUAUUCCAGUUAUGAUGUUGUUUUAAUUAUUGUUCAUGACAAGAUCAUUGUGUUAAUUAGAACAUGGAGCGACCACCCGGGAAAAUAGUGCUACCACAAGGGUGGUAUGGGACGCCCUUGGCCGACUAAUUAGGAAAGCUAGUGGAAGACUACCUUACCCGAAAGGGGCAAGGGCGGUAGAGGAGCAUGCGUAUAGGGAGGUUCUCAGGUCGAUCAUGCUGUUAUGGCUUUUCGGACGAGGGAUUCCUAUAUUUUCCUUCUCAGAAACCGUAGCGGGUUUUCGGAAGCUAGUGGAACUUUGUAAAGGCCUCGUAGUGGUACCCUGGCUCAUCUCCUCGGUAGAGAUGAAUGGGAAGUCUCGAUCCCUUGGCAAAUGGUAAUAUGACUUGUGGGUAAAGAUGUGUAACCUUUAUAGAGUGUAAAAUUAGUAUAUCACUUGUGCUCACGGUAAUGAGCAGCUCGGACCCUCACAUGAGUAAUUUAUGGAACUAAACUUAAUUUGUCAUUUGCAUUGCAUCGUGGGUGUUGUUAUUAAGUUUGAUCUCUUACUUAUUUGGGUUGGUAUCUACUUAUACUUAGUAACUACUAAUAAAAAUUUUCACCAACUCUAAAAGCAAUGCUCAGCUUUAACCAUCCCCUUUGUUAAGCCUUACACUUCACUUGAGCUCCCACCUUUGGUGAGUUCAUGCACAUUAUUCCCCGCAACUUGUUGAGCGCUGAACGUAUGUGAGCUCACCCUUGCUGUACUCACACCCCCUAUGUCAAGGACAGGUACCACAUGAUGAGGCUCAUGAAGGAUGUCGUGAUGAAUUCAUGAGAGGUCUAGGCCAUUGUCUCCCAGUCAAUUAUGGUUGUUGGGUCAUUGUCUUCGUAUGAUGUAAUUAUUUAACUAUUUUCUAUAGAACUCCAUUAUAUAGUAAAGAUGUGACAUUCGUUCUGUACCAUGAGUCCUCAUAUGUGUGAGAUUUGAUCCUAGCACACAUGGUGAAGUUCGCACUCGAGUUUGGUGUCCCUAAAACUCGGGUGUGACAGAAGUGGUAUCAGAGAAAUGUUGAUUGUAGGACGAAACCUAGAUAGAACUGGAUAACCCUUAUCUACUUACCUUUACUCUGAUUCUUUUCUAAACUUUCCCUAAAUCUUUUCUCAUCUAUUGUUGUUUUACUCUGAUUAUUCUUACCUUUUCACUUCUAAAGAAAAAAAAUUGGAUUUCACACUUUGAAAUCUUGUACCUAAAGUGACACUUAGGAAUAGGAGACCUAAUCUUAGGAACAAAAACAAAACUAUGUUUAGGUGUCUAUACGCUUAAAUGUUUUGUUCUAAUGACAACUGUUUGAUUUGGUUCUUUGAUUGAGUGUGAUAAGCUGUGGAGUAAUGUUCACAAUUCCAUCUGCAUAAACAUAUAGGCAUAAAAAAUGUGUUCAUAAGAUGACUAGCCAACCUAAAAUAUCCCACUUUAAAAUAUAGCUAGUAUCACAUAUCUAUCUUAUCUUUGCGGAUUCUAUCUUAUCUUUGGAGAUUCAUCUUAUAAGCUUAGUUAUCCCAAUAUAGACACAAAGCAACAGAUCAAAGCUCUGCCUAAGAUCCUUCAGUUUAUGACCAGCUACUAAGCUAUCUGUUCAGCCUACUAAAUUAUUGUAAGACUAUAAAAAUCAUCAAAUAAAAAUAAUACAGUUAGUUUAUUAAUGGUAUUUAUGGUAAUGAAUAUUCUUUUAAUUGUUUGUCAUUUAUUUUCAUUUGGAAUGGUUUUUGAUUGCUCAUAAUUGAUUUUGGAUA